rfam:Rattus norvegicus chromosome 5, whole genome shotgun sequence.
GGGAAUUUAGCUCAGUGGUAGAGCGCUUGCCUAGCAAGCACAAGGCCCUGGGUUCGGUCCCCAGCUCU